AUGCCUCCCCGUCUCCCCGUCUCCCCGUGGCCAAAACAUCAAAGCAACAAGGAGUCUUUCUCCUCAUCUCUCAUCCUCACAUAGAGAUCAUACAUCAUCCUCAUCAACGAUGCCCAUCAUGUAACGUAGUUCCACACGUGCUUGCAGCAGGUAUCUGGCGUGCCUGUCACACUUCCCCUGCCGUCAUAGCGCGAAAGGAUAUGGCAAUAUAUCCGGAAAGAGUGCUCGAGGCGUAGCGUGCGUACAGUUUCUCUUGCUUUGCGCAAAAUGCGGAAAGCAGCUAAUCUUGAGCCUUGAGGUGCAACGCUGGUGUAAGCGUUGUAAAGCGGAGGUGAAGGCUCGACGCUCGACUAGUUUGCCGGACUUGGUAGCCUUAUGGUCGUGAGGAGUGCCGUAAAAAUGUUCCUCUCGGUGAAGCACGAAAAUGAUACCUCUGUUGAUGUGUGAUCACCAGCACCGUCGCGAGAAAGCAAGACAGGGAUAGGCCAGUUCGUGACAAUAAGCGGGAGCUCAUUCCAAGCCUGCGCUGUGAACAAUGCGCUCAAGUGAAGUGCAUGGCUGAAUACCUCCGAUACAUCCAGAGUUGCUGCCUCUUUGAUCCUAUGGCAUUCAGUAUGUGGGACGACGUCAAGUGAGCUGCUCGUGACUUGAAGAAAACCAAGAAGAAAAAAACAAGUUGGGGCUGCUGCUCACAGAUUGCACCACACGGAAUGAAAACUUGAAAGCUUUGAGACGAAUACCGAUUGCAGGUCCAGAAGAUCCAUAUAACCGUCUUGGCCGGCAUCCGCAGUUCCACCACCACGAGCUACAAAGUUGAAAGCAUCAUCGGGUA